GACAGAGGGUGCAAACGUUGUUCGGAAUUACUGGGCGUAAAGCGCGUGUAGGCGGCUCGGAAAGUCGGAUGUGAAAGCCCAGGGCUCAACCCUGGAAGUGCACUCGAAACUCCCGAGCUGGAGUCCCGGAGAGGAAGGCGGAAUUCUCGGUGUAGAGGUGAAAUUCGUAGAUAUCGAGAGGAACACCUGUGGCGAAGGCGGCCUUCUGGACGGUGACUGACGCUGAGACGCGAAAGCGUGGGAGCAAACAGG
rnacentral:rRNA from 1 species